rnacentral:rRNA from 1 species
UACGUAGGGAGCAAGCGUUGUUCGGAUUUACUGGGCGUAAAGGGCGCGUAGGCGGCGCGGUAAGUCACUUGUGAAAUCUCUGAGCUUAACUCAGAACGGCCAAGUGAUACUGCAGUGCUAGAGUGCAGAAAGGGCAAUCGGAAUUCUUGGUGUAGCGGUGAAAUGCGUAGAUAUCAAGAGGAACACCGGAGGCGAAGGCGGCUUGCUGGGCUUGGUCUGACGCUGGAGGCGCGAAAGCGUGGGGAGCGAACAGG